rnacentral:lncRNA from 1 species
GUGGUGCGAAAGUGAGAGUUAAGAAUACUUCUAAAUAAAUAUCUGAACUGCAUUGCUCCUAUCCCAGAAAUGCUGUUGUGAAAUACUUUGAAAACUAACGACAACAGUCUUUACUCAUACGAGUACAGUGGAACAAGGAUGUUCUGAUUAUGUUAGGUGUGUGUCUGGCGGCUUCUCUGUCAUUACAAGUGGUAGCAGAAAUGAUCUCUUAUUGCCAGCAAGCAGAUUUCUUUUAAUGUUUAACUUGAUCUUGUUUUCACAUCCUCUUUUAUUCUCUUUAUUUAUUUAGGGAUAUUCCUAGGAAGAAACAUUUUAUAUUUAAUUUUACAUAGAUAUAUAUACUCUACAUGUAAACAUUUUCACACAUAGUGUAUUUAAAAAUGGGCAGUUUUAAGACUAU